CGGACGGGUGAGUAACACGUGGGAACGUGCCCUUUGGUUCGGAACAACUCAGGGAAACUUGAGCUAAUACCGAAUGUGCCCCCAUCCUUAAACAAGAUGGGCGGGAAAGAUUUAUCGCCAUUGGAGCGGCCCGCGUCUGAUUAGCUAGUUGGUGGGGUAACGGCCCACCAAGGCGACGAUCAGUAGCUGGUCUGAGAGGAUGAUCAGCCUCACUGGGACUGAGACACGGCCCAG
rnacentral:rRNA from 1 species